UGGGUUUGACAUGGAUCGGGAGUGCUCAGAGAUGGGUGUGCCUCUUUUGGGGUCGGUUCACAGGUGGUGCAUGGCUGUCGUCAGCUCGUGUCGUGAGAUGUUGGGUUAAGUCCCGCAACGAGCGCAACCCUUGUUCACUGUUGCCAGCACGUUAUGGUGGGACUCAGUGGAGACCGCCGGGUCAACUCGGAGGAAGGUGGGGAUGACGUCAAGUCAUCAUGCCCCUUAUCG
rnacentral:rRNA from 1 species